CUGAGGCCUUCUUUUAGGGAAAUUAUAGCAGCUGAAUGUGAAGAAAGUUUCCAAGUUUUCUUCGAAUUCCAUGCAGGAUUUUGAUUAUUUCACUGUGGACAUGGAGAAAGGAAUGAAAGGAAUUCAUUCAACAUUCAUGGAGGAAGAGAAUACAAAAUGGAUGUGUCAUAUGUCAGUAAUAAGGAAUGGAAAAAUGAUGGUAAGAACAAUCUCUUUUUAUAGAAUUUUUUUUUUAGAAUUGCUUUUUUUUAU
rnacentral:lncRNA from 1 species